CUAUACAUGACUCUGCGCAUAUCAAUAAGCGGAGGAAAAGAAACUAACAAGGAUUCCCUUAGUAACGGCGAGUGAAGCGGGAAGAGCUCAAAUAUGAAAUCUUCAAGGUUCUACCUUGACGAAUUGUAGUUUAUAGAAGUGUUUUCUGUUAGUGGAGUGGCAAAAGUUCUUUGGAAUAGGACAUCAUAGAGGGUGAGAAUCCCGUAUUUGGUCAUUCCUUCUAGCGCUUGUGAUACACUUUCAACGAGUCGGAUUGUUUGGGAAUGCAGUCCAAAAUGGGUGGUAAAUUUCAUCUAAAGCUAAAUAUUGGCGAGAGACCGAUAGCGAACAAGUACCGUGAGGGAAAGAUGAAAAGAACUUUGAAAAGAGAGUUAAACAGUACGUGAAAUUGUCAAAAGGGAAGCGUUUGACACCAGUGUUGUUUUUCCGAAAAUCAAUUACGAGUGUUUUAGUUUUUGAGGAGUUAUGACUUCAUCGGCUUGCUCCUUUCUUUAUGAAACUUUCUUAAUGCACUUUUCGGUUAACAAGUCAACAUCAAUUUCUUUUGUUGUAAAAGGGUAUGAGGAAGGUGGCUCUCUUUUCGGAGAAAGUGUUUAUAGCCUUGUGCCUCUGCAAUCGGAGAGAUUGAGGUCUGCAACGUAGAUCCUUCGGGGUUAGAUACAUUUGUGCUAAGUUAUAGCUUUUCAUAGACAACUUGUUGACUAUGUUUAGUCUUGUAGCUUACUCGCUUAUGCUAUUUUACCUACGCUUAGGAUGUUGAUAUGCAUGACUGAUAU
rnacentral:rRNA from 1 species